rnacentral:rRNA from 1 species
UACGGGGGGGGCAAGCGUUGUUCGGAAUUACUGGGCGUAAAGGGCGCGUAGGCGGCCACCGCAAGUCGACUGUGAAAUCUCCGGGCUUAACCCGGAAAGGUCAGCCGAAACUGCGGGGCUAGAGUGCAGAAGGGGCAACUGGAAUUCUCGGUGUAGCGGUGAAAUGCGUAGAUAUCGAGAGGAACACCUGCGGCGAAGGCGGGUUGCUGGGCUGACACUGACGCUGAAGCGCGAAAGCUAGGGGAGCGAACGGG